UACGGGGGGGGCAAGCGUUGUUCGGAAUUACUGGGCGUAAAGGGCUCGUAGGCGGCCAACUAAGUCGGAUGUGAAAUCCCCAGGCUUAACCUGGGAACUGCAUCCGAUACUGGAUGGCUUGAAUCCGGGAGAGGGAUGCGGAAUUCCAGGUGUAGCGGUGAAAUGCGUAGAUAUCUGGAGGAACACCGGUGGCGAAGGCGGCAUCCUGGACCGGCAUUGACGCCUGAGGAGCGAAAGCCAGGGGAGCAAA
rnacentral:rRNA from 1 species